GUCGAGACAUAAUUGUUGAAAGAAAAAUUUCCAGAAACAUGUUGAUGUUCUCAUUCACGAAUCCGAGAGAAAAAGAAAAGGAAAAACUCAUGAAACCUGUCCCGGUUGAAACCCUAAUUUGACCAUGCCUUUAAUUGCCAAAUGCUGAUGAAUCUCUCUAACAACUGACAACUCUGUGUUCAUCUUAAAUUCAUUUCAAGUUUCAAUAAAUU
rnacentral:misc_RNA from 1 species